rnacentral:rRNA from 1 species
UGCGCAGGCGGCUCCGCAUGUCAGAUGUGAAAUCCCCGAGCUUAACUUGGGAAUUGCAUUUGAAACUACGGGGCUGGAGUGCGGCAGAGGGAGGUGGAAUUCCACGCGUAGCGGUGAAAUGCGUAGAGAUGUGGAGGAACACCGAUGGCGAAGGCAGCCUCCUGGGCCGACACUGACGCUCAUGCACGAAAGCGUGGGGAGCAAACA